CGUACACUCCUGCGGGAGGCAGCAGUGGGGAAUAUUGGACAAUGGGCGCAAGCCUGAUCCAGCCAUGCCGCGUGAGUGAUGAAGGCCCUAGGGUUGUAAAGCUCUUUCACCGGUGAAGAUAAUGACGGUAACCGGAGAAGAAGCCCCGGCUAACUUCGUGCCAGCAGCCGCGGUAAUACGAAGGGGGCUAGCGUUGUUCGGAUUUACUGGGCGUAAAGCGCACGUAGGCGGACUAUUAAGUCAGGGGUGAAAUCCCGGGGCUCAACCCCGGAACUGCCUUUGAUACUGGUAGUCUUGAGUUCGAGAGAGGUGAGUGGAAUUCCGAGUGUAGAGGUGAAAUUCGUAGAUAUUCGGAGGAACACCAGUGGCGAAGGCGGCUCACUGGCUCGAUACUGACGCUGAGGUGCGAAAGCGUGGGGAGCAAACAGGAUUAGAUACCCGGGUAGUCCCAUGAU
rnacentral:rRNA from 1 species